rnacentral:rRNA from 1 species
UACGUAGGGUGCGAGCGUUAAUCGGAAUUACUGGGCGUAAAGGGUGCGCAGGCGGCGUCGCAAGUCAGGCGUGAAAUCCCCGGGCUUAACCUGGGAACUGCACUUGAAACUACGAUGCUGGAGUAUGGCAGAGGGAGGUGGAAUUCCACGUGUAGCGGUGAAAUGCGUAGAUAUGCGGAGGAACACCGAUGGCGAAGGCAAUCCCCUGGGCCUGCACUGACGCUCAUGCACGAAAGCGUGGGGAGCAAACAGG